GGGGACAGUGCGCGGUGCUAUACAUGCAGUCGAGCGAAUGGAUUAAGAGCUUGCUCUUAUGAAGUUAGCGGCGGACGGGUGAGUAACACGUGGGUAACCUGCCCAUAAGACUGGGAUAACUCCGGGAAACCGGGGCUAAUACCGGAUAACAUUUUGAACCGCAUGGUUCGAAAUUGAAAGGCGGCUUCGGCUGUCACUUAUGGAUGGACCCGCGUCGCAUUAGCUAGUUGGUGAGGUAACGGCUCACCAAGGCAACGAUGCGUAGCCGACCUGAGAGGGUGAUCGGCCACACUGGGACUGAGACACGGCCCAGACUCCUACGGGAGGCAGCAGUAGGGAAUCUUCCGCAAUGGACGAAAGUCUGACGGAGCAACGCCGCGUGAGUGAUGAAGGCUUUCGG
rnacentral:rRNA from 1 species